rnacentral:misc_RNA from 1 species
GAUGAAGAACGUAGCGAAAUGCGAUAAGUAAUGUGAAUUGCAGAAUUCAGUGAAUCAUCGAAUCUUUGAACGCACAUUGCGCCCGCCAGUACUCUGGCGGGCAUGCCUGUCCGAGCGUCAUUUCGACCAUUCAAGCCCCCGGGCUUGUGUUGGGGUUCCUACGCGCAGCGCGUAGGCCCUGAAAACCAGUGGCGGGCUCGCUAUCACCCGAGCGUAGUAGUUAACAUCUCGCUCAGGGCGUUGCUGCGGGUCCCGGCCGUUAAAACCCCCUUGACUCUCCAAGGUUGACCUCGGAUCAGGUAGGAAUACCCGCUGAACUUAAGCAUAUCAAUAAGCGGAGGA